CGCUGAGCACUGGAGAGAGCGUCUUGUGGUUACGGCCUGCGGCCUGCACCUCAGCUUCCUCCGCACGGUUAUCCCUGUACCCGCCGCCAUCCAUCCUGGCGCUCCGGAUGAGUCAAUGAGGGGCAGCGCCCGAGGAAUGGUCUUCCCAAGAACCCCCGGUGGCCUCCCAAGGCCGGUGCUGUGUACCUCCUCCCCGACAAAAGGGGCAACUGAGGCCCCGAGGGGAGUGGGAAGAGCCGGCUGGACGUCAGGCCCAGCCGCUGGUGCGGUAGUCCGUCCCCUCCGCCGGGGUGGGCCCCUCGGGUUUCGCGUGUCCUCGGGAAAGAGACUGGCGGGUGAGCCGCGCCCUCGGCCUUCGCUGGGCUAAGCCGACCCCAUGCGGACGUCAGAACCCCCCAGGUUCGCACAGCCUCUCUGCGGGGAGGCUUAGUGCCUCUUGAGAAACGGCUCGGCAACGCUGCGCCCGGGGCCUUGCACGCGGGCUGAGGGGGGCUAGAGACCUCGCGACUUUCACUCCCCCGACCCCGAUUUCCGACUCCUGACUUUGGAAGCCCCCAAAGCUGCUUUUCGGUUGCCUACAAAGUGUCGGUUAUUGUGCCAUGUCCUUGGAACCGUGAACUCAUUUUCUCCUCAAUAACCUUGAAAAAGUAGCUGUAAAACCUCCAUUUUACAGACCAAUUGGCUGAGGUUUAAAUGGAGGACACUCCCAGGGCCCCAGAGGGGUGAAUUCCAGACUCCUUUGCCAGGACCUUGUACUAAGCCCCUUCCCUACGCUUUUCCCUGCCUAGGCCUCGUGGGCUGUGCGGCUCUCCUGGAGACAGAUGACAGCUCUCCCUUGGAUGGCUUUGCUAGUUUCGCACCAGCCAGCGCCCCAUUUUUCCUGCAGCACCCUGAUCCGCACUCCCUGAGGGGCUCCCACUGUCCGCGGUGUGAGGAUGUCCCUGGAUAGUCCACUGUGUGCAGAGGCAUGGGAGUUGUCAUGUCGAUAACAUGCUAGACCUCAGUGUCCUUGAGGGAUGCCGCCUUGGGUCUGGAGACUGUUAGAGGAAACCCCAAGAGGUGCAAGCACUGAGCCUCUCAGGACAAUGACCUGGGAUUCCACCUCCCCUGGAGGGGCCUCCUCAUGAUUGUUUGGGGGUUGAUCACAGACCAAGAGUGAUGAGUGAUGUCACCCUGUGAUGCAUGGCUGGACCUUCUUGCCCCUAUUGUCUCAGCACAACAUUAAUCGACUUUUCCCUCAGCGUGGGUGGGCAGAGGAAAAGCCCUGUGGCUCUGGGGACUUGGGAUCCAGAGUUGAAGACCCUUCAGCUGGCUCUGCCCUGCCAGUGCCACAGAGUGCCAUGGCCCAGGAAGACUGGUUUUCUUCCAUCUAGGCCAGGCCAUCCAGUGGCCAUCCUUCGUGUCCUCCCACCUCCUUCUGGUGUGACUUCUGAAAACCAAGAAUUUGUUCCUGUUGACUUUUUCUGUGCUAUGGACCAUUGUCCUCUGACCCACUCAAUAAAUCUUGAAACAUGC
rnacentral:sRNA from 1 species